rnacentral:rRNA from 1 species
CCUAGGGAGGCAGCAGUGGGGAAUAUUGCACAAUGGGCGAAAGCCUGAUGCAGCAACGCCGCGUGAAGGAAGAAGGCCUUCGGGUCGUAAACUUCUGUCCUUGGGGGAGAAGAACUGACGGUACCCAAGGAGGAAGCCCCGGCUAACUACGUGCCAGCAGCCGCGGUAAUACGUCGGGGGCAAGCGUUAUCCGGAAUUAUUGGGCGUAACGAGUACGUAGGUGGCAACCUAAGCGCAGGGUUUAAGGCAAGGGAUCAACCCUUGUUCGCCCUGGAAACUGGGAGGCUUGAGUGCAGGAGAGGAAAGCGGAAUGCCUAGUGUAGCGGUGAAAGGCGUAGAUAUUAGGAGGAACACCAGUGGCGAAGGCGGCUUUCUGGACUGUAACUGACACUGAGGUACGAAAGCGUGGGGAGCAAACAGGAUUAGAUACCCCGGUAGUC